rnacentral:rRNA from 1 species
GACGAACGCUGGCGGCGCGCCUAACACAUGCAAGUCGAACGGAGCUUAGAGAGCUUGCUUUUUAAGCUUAGUGGCGAACGGGUGAGUAACGCGUGAGUAACCUGCCCUAGAGUGGGGGACAACAGUUGGAAACGACUGCUAAUACCGCAUAAGCCCACGGUACCGCAUGGCACUGAGGGAAAAGGAUUUAUUCGCUUUAGGAUGGACUCGCGUCCAAUUAGCUAGUUGGUGAGGUAACGGCCCACCAAGGCGACGAUUGGUAGCCGGACUGAGAGGUUGAACGGCCACAUUGGGACUGAGACACGGCCCAGACUCCUACGGGAGGCAGCAGUGGGGGAUAUUGCACAAUGGGGGAAACCCUGAUGCAGCGACGCCGCGUGGAGGAAGAAGGUUUUCGGAUUGUAAACUCCUGUCGUUAGGGACGAUAAUGACGGUACCUAACAAGAAAGCACCGGCUAACUACGUGCCAGCAGCCGCGGUAAAACGUAGGGUGCAAGCGUUGUCCGGAAUUACUGGGUGUAAAGGGAGCGCAGGCGGGAAGACAAGUUGGAAGUGAAAACCAUGGGCUCAACCCAUGAAUUGCUUUCAAAACUGUUUUUCUUGAGUAGUGCAGAGGUAGAUGGAAUUCCCGGUGUAGCGGUGGAAUGCGUAGAUAUCGGGAGGAACACCAGUGGCGAAGGCGGUCUACUGGGCACCAACUGACGCUGAGGCUCGAAGCAUGGGUAGCAAACAGG